UCCAAGACCCCUUCGCUCUUCACGCCCUCCUCCUCUUCCCAGACCCCUCUCUCUCUCUCUCUCUCUCUCUCUCUCUCUCUCUCUCUCUCUCUCACUCGGUCUCUCUCUUCCGUAGCCUUCCUCCUCUUCGCUCAUCAUACCCUCUCUCCCGUAGGCUUCCUCCUCUUCGCUCGAACCCCAAAUCUUGAACCCCAAAUUGCCCCAAUCUCAAACCCACUAUCGGUUGUCUCUCUCGCUUUCGUUCUAAAUGACAGGCAGCCACCACCCCCUUCGUCGUGCUCGUCUCUCUCGAAAGAUGCUUUGGAGCCGUAUAUGAGUCAGAGAACAUUGAAAGUUCAUUGGGGAGGCCAUCAUCGAAACUAUGUGGAAGGUCUGAACAAACAACUGGAGAAGAGUGACGUACAAUAUGGCUACAUGUUCGAUGAACUUGUCAAAGCAACAUAUAAUAAUGGGAAUCCUUUACCUAAAUUUAACAACGCUGCACAGGUUUAGUGCAGGUUCGGACUGGUUUAAGACUCGCUAACUUGAAGUCCAAUCUUGGUCAUAGCAUGAAAAAAAUGUUGCCAACGGGUGACAUGUUGCGUAAAGUGAUUUGCAACAAGGAAAGUUUUCAUUUUCCUUGUUUUCAUUUUCAUUUUCACCUAAUGUGCUUACUAUUAACAAAACUUGUAGAUAUCAAAGCAUUGAAAACUACUUAGAGUUGUUACAGCAUCAUCAUCUGGCCUGAGACACUGAUAUUUCUCAUAAGUAGAGUAAUAUCUGGUUUUCAUUUUCUUGAGAUCCAAAAGCUAACUGAAAUAGCUGUCAUGAUGGAUACAGAGGAAUUUGGUUUGUAUUUAUAAUUUCUGUCCUAGAUUAUGUUAGGUUGAUUAUGUGUGGGUUAUCAUUGCUUCGAGAAGAUUGUGUUAAUAGUUGUAAAAUCGUGAGCAUAGUACAAUGAUAUAUGCACUGUAUGGAUAGGAAAAUUUAUAGAAGGAAUGAUGGUUCUAGGUAUCAUUAGAAGGCCCUUACAGAUUCUUUGUGACAAUACUGCUAUAGUUUUCUAUUCUAAGAACAAGAGGUCUUCAGGAACCAAGCACAUGCAUAUUAAGCACAGAUUGGUCAGGGAAAAGGUCAAGACAUUGAUAUUGGUUCAUUAUUUAUGGAAUUAAUUUCGAGCUUUGAUAUGCUGAGUUAGUGGGAGUAUGAAAUGGUUAUAGUUUGAGUUAAAUAAGUAAGCUAGUGUUCUCACAGAACCUUGAGUUAUAGUUCGUUUCUAAAUGGUUUGAAUUCAUGCAUUUGUGUUCAUUGUUAGUCUUUUUCGUCUAGUUUUAAUUACAUGUCUUGUUUGGUGAAUAUAUCUAUAUUUGCACUUGAUGAAAUUACAGUUAACCAUCUUAGUAAAAGGUUCCUCUUUUAAAUUGCACUUGUAAUUACCAUACCAAAAUCUUACAAUGGAAUCUCGACAUAAAAAACUGAGAUAAGUUGAUUAUCCCUAAGCCUCAAACGCCCUCCCCACCCCCGCUAUCUCUUUUGCGCUCUUUUGGCUCCUUUUUGGUCGUUUUGUCUCUUCAUACUUGGGUCACGUAUUCAUAAAUUUCUGGUACACUGUUGUAGGUGAAUACACACCUCACGCCCCGCCCAAUAUUACUUACUAGGCAUGGAGAGAGUAAGGAUAAUGUUAGAGGCAGAAUUGGAGAAGACAAUCCUUUGAGGAGGAAGUGACAACCCUAAGGCGUCAGCUUGCGGUCCAUGGCGAGGAGAUGAAGGCCUAUGUCGGGCAUGUGAGAGAUCUUGUACGAGCCAUACAGAUGUUCGGCCUCCAAAUCUUGCUAUUAGUACCUGAUCUUGCUACACCUUCGACCUUCGAGCCAUUUCACUCUAUCGAUACUCAGUAGCCACUCCACUUAGAAGACUACUUGUAGUUUUUUCUUUUUUUGUUCAGACAUUUUGUAUGUACAUUUUCAUAUAUUUUAUAAUUAAUUAAUUUUC